rnacentral:rRNA from 1 species
GGGGUAUAGCGGAUGUGAAGACGCAGAACGACCCGCGAACUCGUUCCCGAAAACUCCGGGGCCCCGGCCCCGGAGGAAACAAAAGAACCAACCCCGGCGCGGAACGCGCCAAGGAAAACUGAAACGAGGGCCCGACCCUCCCCGGCCCGUCCGCGGAGCCCGGGCCGAGGCGACGGCUUCCUUUCGAAACCACAACAACUCUCGGCAACGGAUAUCUCGGCUCUCGCAUCGAUGAAGAACGUAGCGAAAUGCGAUACUUGGUGUGAAUUGCAGAAUCCCGUGAACCAUCAAGUCUUUGAACGCAAGUUGCGCCCGAAGCCGUCAGGCCGAGGGCACGUCUGCCUGGGCGUCACGCAUCGCGUCGCCCCCCGCCACCCGCGGGGGAGCGGACUCUGGCCUCCCGUGCCCGCGGCGCGGCUGGCCGAAACGCGAGCCCGGCACGACGGGCGUCACGACAGUUGGUGGUCGGUCGCUUCCACUCUCGCGCUGUCGUGCGACCCCCCGCCGUGCUCCGGGACCGACGAGACCCUCGACGCGCCCGUCUCCCACGACGAGACGCGCGCCACGACCGCGACCCCAGGUCAGGCGGGAUCACCCGCUGAGUUUAAGCAUAUCAUA